rnacentral:rRNA from 1 species
UUCCGGUCAGUUAACCGUAGGGGGUACCUGGGGUUGAUCCUCCCUCAAGGGGGAAGUAACAGCGUAGGGUUGAACCCCUAUCGGACGAGCGGAGGGGACGGGAUGAGUAACGCGUGAGAAUCCGCCCAUCAGUGGGGGAUAACCCGGGGAAACUCGGGCUAAUACCGCAUACGUCCUACGGGACAAAGCAGGGGACCUUUUGGCCUUGCGCUGAUGGAUGAGCUCGCGUCGGAUUAGCUUGUUGGUGAGGUAAAGGCUUCACCAAGGCGACGAUCCGUAGCUGGUCUGAGAGGAUGAUCAGCCACACCGGGACUGAGACACGGCCCGGACUCCUACGGGAGGCAGCAGUGGGGAAUCUUGGACAAUGGGGGCAACCCUGAUCCAGCCAUGCCGCGUGUGUGAAGAAGGCCUUCGGGUUGUAAAGCACUUUCAGUAGGGAGGAAGGCUUCCGGUUAAUACCCGGGAGUACUUGACGUUACCUACAGAAGAAGCACCGGCUAAUUUCGUGCCAGCAGCCGCGGUAAUACGAAAGGUGCAAGCGUUAAUCGGGAAUUACUGGGCGUAAAGCGCGCGUAGGCGGUGUGUUAAGUCCCGGAUGUGAAAGCCCAGGGCUCAACCUUGGAAUUGCAUCCGAUACUGGCACGCUAGAGUGCAGUAGAGGGAGGUGGAAUUUCCGGUGUAGCGGUGAAAUGCGUAGAGAUCGGAAGGAACACCAGUGGCGAAGGCGGCCUCCUGGACUGACACUGACGCUGAGGUGCGAAAGCGUGGGGAGCAAACAGGAUUAGAUACCCUGGUAGUACCACGCCGUAAACGAUGUCUACUAGCCGUCGGGAUCCUUAGUGAUCUUGGUGGCGCAGCUAACGCGAUAAGUAGACCGCCUGGGGAGUACGGCCGCAAGGUUAAAACUCAAAUGAAUUGACGGGGGCCCGCACAAGCGGUGGAGCAUGUGGUUUAAUUCGAUGCAACGCGAAGAACCUUACCAGGUCUUGACAUCCUCGGAAUUUGGCAGAGAUGCCUUAGUGCCUUCGGGAGCCGAGUGACAGGUGCUGCAUGGCCGUCGUCAGCUCGUGUCGUGAGAUGUUGGGUUAAGUCCCGUAACGAGCGCAACCCCUUGUCCUUAAGUUGCCAGCACGUAAUGGUGGGGAACUCUAGGGAGACUGCCGGGUGACCACAACACCGGAAGGGAAGGUGGGGGGGACGACGUCAGGUCCAUCAUGGCCCUUACGACCUGGGGGGGGCCUACACACGGUGCUACAAAAUGGGCGGUUGGUACAAAAA